AUAAACUUAAUACUGAUAGGAAAAUAAAAAUAUAUACUGCACAUUUUGAACUAAUGAUGCAAUACAAAACAACAUGACAGAGAAUAUAUUAGAGCAUAAUUAAAACCAUAUGACCUAAGACAGAAUAAAUAAAAAUAUCUGCAUCGCUAAAACAAAGCAUAACAUAGCUUUUUUAAAAACAUCUAAACAAUUAAAUUAUGAAAUUUAAUUAAUCACAUCAAGAUUGAGUUUGUAUCUCCUAACAUCAAACAUUUUAAUCGAAAUAAAUGAUAAAAAUGAAAAAGAAAAAAUCACAAAAUAAGCAUUUACACAUAAUAUAUAUCUAGACACUUUCAAAUAAAAAAGUAUGUUAAACAAUACAUAAAAUCUCUGCUCAACUAACUUCUAAUGGUAAUAAAAUAUAACAAACAGGUAAAAACUUGAGAUCCAGCAUACCAAAAAGAAAAUCUAGUUAACCUGGAUUUGAUGUUAAACAUCACAUUAUAUGUUUCUAUUAAAUUUUACUUGCUUCCUUUCUUGUAUUAUUUUUGUAACGUUUGUAAUUUUUUUUAAAUUUAGGCUCCUAGUAUAUUGUUCAUUUUUCUUCCGAAGAUGUGCAACUCGACGCCAUAAACAAAUCCAAAGCAAUAUCUUCUUUCUACUUAAUUAUGUUUUUCUUGGAUUUUGUGUUUCGCUAUCAAACAUGUAUAUAAUAACAAUUAAUCAUUCAAUUAUUUUUUGAAAAUAUAAGCAAAAGAAUCAAGUCAAAUGGAGUCGAACCAUAGAUUCGGAUCAUCAAUCAAGAAUGAAAAAUAUUUUGUAGAUUACAAUUUUUUUGUCUAUAUAAAAAGAUACUUUAGUAUUAUGAUUAUAAACUAUACCAUUUAAACACACACACACGCAUAUAUAUAUAUAAUCAAUUUGAAAAUAUUUAGGUGAGAUGGCAAAAAUUUGGAGAGAAAUUAACUAUGGUAAUGUUCUUAAAUAACUUAACUAUGGCAAUGUUGUGGUAUAAAUAAUCUUUUGUCUAGUUCUCAAAAAAAAAUCUUUUGUGACAAUUUCAUAUUCAUGCACAACUAAUGAGUUUUAUGUUAUGCUAUUUUGAAUAUAUAACUGUUUAUUGACUAAUGUGAUAAAUCAGACGAUAUGUGCUGUUUUUGCCCCUAUGUUUUUUAAUCGUUUAUCUAUAUUUUCAUAUAAUUGAAAGAAAAUUGAAUAUUGCCGUCAAAAAUUGAAUAUUGUCUGUCUUUAAUUACCAUUUCCUAUCACGAUUAAACAAUCAUUCUCUUAGUGCUACUUCGUUUACUAUCUGGAUUUGUGUUAAAUUGUAUAAGCUUCAUGCUUGGCGGUAUAGUAGUUAGACUUUCCGAAAUAUAUAAAGAAAUCAAAAGUCAAUCAAAUUCUGUUGUAGAUGGCAAGUUACGGGCACCGGAUAUAAGAUUUCGAGGACCAUAAUCAUCUCUCUUUUUUUUAAAUUUAAUAAAUCUCUUUUUUUUUGUAGUUUAUGAACUUAUCUUUAUGUUAAAAAAUUCUAUAAAAUUUAGGAGGUUAAGAUUAAUAUUUCAUACGGCUGUUUCCAAUUCGGCUAUGUUAGUUGAUAUUCGGCUAUGUUAGUUGAUACGUGUAUGAAUAUAAAAUAUUAAAAUAUAAUAUUAACAACGGUUUAGAUAGUAUAAAUUAUGGGCAAUGAAAUGCAUGAAAAACUUAAGCCAAUUUUAGAUUACGUUUACAACGGACUGUUCUCAAUUGAUGAAAAUGGUUUUAGAACCAGAAGAAUGACUAGCAUUUACAAAUUAUUUGAAAUAUAUUAAGAUCUUGAAAGAAGGUUUCACACAAUCAGAGAUUAUCUAUGUACCAAAGACGUAAAAUACAAAAACGGAAAGCCUACCACGCAGUGUCAGGAAACAACUGUUUUUUCUCAUUCACAUAGAUCAAAAUCUUUCGGUAUGGUUCACAUAGUUAGUACAAGUCUGUAUAAUUUGAUGACAAAAAAAAAAAAAUAUAAAUCAUGGGUUAAUUAAAGCCACAAGAAUUCGUCUAAACACUGUGUCUUUUUUACUCCUUUAGGUCAAAUAUAAAGGAACCUUCAAUGUGGAAACGGUAAUAAUUUUUAAAGGUCUAAAGACUAGUCUAGAAGGUGGAAUAAAAAGAUAAAAACGUAUUUUAUCUAUUUAUUUAUACAAGAAGAGGAACAUGGUCAUCUUUUAUAUCAAUGGCCUUCGAGAAAAACACCAUAUAUUGCUCCCCCUUAGAGAGAGAGAGAGAGCGUGCUUCACAGCAACUAGAGAAAGGAUCCAAAGGGAUCGCAUUGAUCCAAAUUAAGCUGAAUUAUUCCCCAAUAGUUAUUCUUUUUCUCAAUCGAAAGAUGAAAAGAAGACUUGCUUCAUUUUCUGGAUCAUGCGAUCUCAUUGGAUUCAUUCUUUGGUAGCUUCCAUUUUGGUCAAAAGGUCUCUCUACCGGAGACUUCGCCGCCGGGAGAUUCUUCGGUGGGUCGAACCAGUCAUUUACGACAAGUGAUAAAACUUUGUUCAUAUACAAGUAAGUUUCAAAGAUUUAGGAUACAUGCCAAGAACAAGAACACAAGAACCUUGUCUUUUCUUCUUUUUUCCCACACCUCUUACUAUCUGUAUUUUGUGGCACUGAUUUGCUAAUACAAAUAUUUGUUUUUUAUACAAAGAUUUGUUGUUGUUGUUAUCAUAUACGCAUAUAUAAUACAUACCGUGAAUAAUUUUGUUAGGGUGUUCUCUUUUCUUUGUCGAAAUAGUGUUUUUGUUUUCCUAUGAACAAAAUAUUGAAAGUAUCUUGUAUUACUUCAAAACUAAUUUUAAGUUAACUUACUAGUUCGAGAUCCAAGAUCAAGAAGUGCUUGGACCCGUAAAUUAGUUUUCAGACUAGUGAGAAUCGGAUCCAUUUUGAUUUUACACCAUUUGUAUCGAUAUUAAGUUUGGAAAAUAAUAAAUUAAUUCUGCGUUUUUUACCCAAAUAAAAAUAUUAAUUCUGCGUAUUAACAUCAACAAUAAUAAUCAUGAAAAUGGGUGAAAUCCAAUGUGAGGAGGUAAUUAGUUUAGUCAUGCCUCCUUUUCCUUGGUUAUUCUUUCCAGACACAAAAAUGUGAUUAGAGAUUUGUUUUUAAAAUGAAACAGUUCUAACAUGUCAUGAAAUUGGUUUUGGUUUCUAAGAAAUGACUAUCAGAUAAGUAUGGUGCGUGACUGCUAAUUUAUGUACAACAUUUUUUCUUAUGAACCCAACUAACAACUUUCAAAACAAUAUGUUACGGUAUAGUAGCUAUAUAUUAUUCAUUUCCCUGCUUAAUCUUCUUUUCCAACUUUCGUUGUCUAAUACAUUUUUUUUCUGUAAGGGUGGUUUAAUACAACUAGGAAUAUAAAAUUAACUAAUAUUGAAAAUGGAAUAGAGAAAAGACAUAAUAAUGAUUCAGUUAGCGUAAUUUAUAAGGCUAUGCUCGUGUAUUUCAAAUGAAAAUAUGUCAAUUGGUGUAAAAUUUAUAAUUCUAAUUAUUCGAUGAUUUGUGAAAGUGUAAAGAGACUUCCAAUACAAUGAUUUGUCCUCCUUUUGUAGGAAAAUGCUAUAUUUAUAGUGUAAAGUAACUAAUCGAUGCUGAUAUUCACUGGUUAAGCUUUCUUUUCUCCACUGAUCCCUUUUAAAAAGAUUUCAGCCACUUAUUUUUUCUUUACCGUGGGUCAACCUUCUGUUAGAUGUAAGAUCCCGAUCAAUGUCAAAUGCAUGUAUAUAACUUUUCACAAAGAACAAAAAAAUGUUCAAUGCUUUAUUGGUUUUUCUUUCCAUUUUAUGUAAUUAAAUAUUAAUAUAAAAACGUGCAAGAAACUAUUAAAAUACCAAAGGCUUAUGUCUAGAAGUGGUUAAAACGCUACAUGGAAAGAUUAAAGUAUGGUACGAUCGGUAAUAGCGUAACAUAGAUGCUAUAAUCACAAAGUGUGAGACUUUAAGUAACUAAGGUUCUACCUUUUUGGAGGAACUGCUUCCUUUAUUUUGCCAUCUCCGAAGAUUAAGAGAGCCAAACCAUCAUUGAUCACAUAUCAUUGGACUAUCCUCUGCUUCAGGGAGGAAAGCUAGAUGGUAGAAGUCAGUGAUCAAUAACAUCGUGUUGUCAAACUUAUCAUCAGUAACCAUUGCUUUAGGCAUUGAACCAGCAUUCUUUUCAUUUGUACCCUCUAUCCAACCAACUUCUAUGAAUUGAUCUUAGAGUGAAAUAUUUUCUUUCCAUCACCCACACCAAUCAGUAAAAUAAAAAGAUAGUAUGAGCAAAAUCAUAUUGGUUAGUUUUUUUUUUUGGUAAUCAAGUUAGUUUAGAUGUUAUAUGCAUAACUAUAUUAAUUACUAAUACCGUAAUUUGGUAAAACAUAUAUAUAUAUAUAUAUAAAUAACUGAAAAGACUAGAAAGUAUGUAAAUAAAUAUUUCAAAACAUAUAUAUAAAUCUAAAACAGUCAUAUAUGCUUAAGAAUAUUUAUAUAUUUCAAAAUGACAAUUUUAUAGUAAAUUAAAAGAAUCACACGGGAGCUCAAAUAUUAUCAUACUAGGUGGAAUUCGCGGGUACAAAUAAUUUUUCAAGUGUUAAACAUAUAAUAUUAAUUAUGUUUUUGAUACAUUAUAAUAUAUUUUUAUUUUUCAAAUUUGAAUAUGAAUUUUAUUUGAUAUAUAUUCUCUAAAUAAACAGAUUUAUAUAUUUUUGUAUUUUACUUUAAAAAUAUAUAAAUAUGACUUUUGUAAUAUUUUAUUAGAUUUUUAUCAACAACUAUAGUAAAAUAGUUAAUGUAUACUGCAAUUUAAUUGAUCUACAGUCUUAUUAUAUAUUAUGAAUAUGGCUUGAAAUAAUUCACCAUGUUGAUUAUUUAGUGCUAAAUAUGCAAGAAUUUGAACCAAAAAGUUCUGAUUUGUGGAAAGUUCAGAGAAAUUAUAAACAAUAUUCAAUGAAAUAAUUUAGAUAAAUUAAAACAGUUAGAUGUAUAUGAAAUAAAAAGUGAAUUUGCAGAAAAUCGUGAUUUUUCAGUAAAUAAACAUUAUAUUUACAACUUCAAAUCUCUUAAAAAACCUUUUAUAAAAGGUAUGAAAUAAUUUAGCAGAUUUUGCAGUAAAUAGUAAUUUUAUAGAUUUUUUUUAUAGAGAAAGAGCUUUUUGAUUUUUAAAGAAUUGUUGAUGGGAAAGCUUAAUAUGUUUCUUAUAUAAUGUUACUUUUACGUUUUACUUUAUAUUAUAUUAUAUGUAUAUUAUUGUCUAUAUAAUAUAUAAGUAAUAAUAAUUACUAACUACUAAAUUUUAUUAUGUUUUUUUAUAUCUACUAAUAAUAGCAAUCUCAAUUAAUUCCAAAGGUUAUGAAUUCACUUAUGUUGAAAGGUUGUGUUUUUUCUAAAAGUUGUCAAUAAAAUUGUGUCUUUUCAAAAAAUUGAGUUAUGACUAUUCAUAUAAGUAUCUUUUAAAAAAUGAAAAGUUGUGACUAUUCUUAUAAGUAUCUUUUCAAAAUAACUACCUUUAAAUGGAAAAAAUGUGACUAUUCAACUUGAAGAGUUGUGACUAUUUAAAUUGAAGAGUUGUGACUAUUCAAAUAAUUUUUAAAAUCUAUAAAUAGUCUAUGUCCAUGCAUUUCUCAAAAGAAAAUUUCCACUAAUCAAACUGAUAUUAAAAUAAUAAAAAAUAAAUCUCAAAUAAGAACAUUUCUAAAACUUGUUACUUUUAUGUCAAGGGACUAAUAGUCAGUUUUAUAAUGCUCUACACUCCUCCAUACUUCAAAAUCACUAAAUUUAUAUAUUUCACCCUCAGAAAUAUAUAGCCUCAAAUUCAUGCACACAUCUUAUGUAUACCAACGACUAUCUUUAGACUUAAAGUUCAAGCACCUUAUGUAAACAUGUUCAUUGACAUUUGACUUCAUCAGAUCACAACAGAUAACAUAAAAGAAGUAAUAAAGAAAAUACAUGAUUUGGACAAACGAUAGCGCUACUGUCAAGAGUAUUACAGACGAACAAAAGAGAUCUCCCAUGCCUGGAAGAUGAUACGAAAAGAAAGAGGAACUUACACUAUUGAAUCUGGUCCUAAAGGCGAGUCGAAACCGUAAUUGUUUGGUGAGAAGGAAACACAUCGAUCAAUGAAUCUCCUCCUAUUGUCCGGCUGCAAACAGGAAACGAAAUGAGCAUUUUUUUUGGAGUAAAAACAACCCUUGUGUUUUGCUAUUAAAGUAAUAAUUAGAAACAGACCUAAAAUAUACUAUCUAUUCAGUCACGUUCGACAAAAGCAUAUCUACAAUUUAUGCAAUGUUAAACGGCAGGUGUAACUAAUAUGACUACCAACAAAUUUAGUAAGAACUACCUUUCGGAUAAAAAUGAUUAAGGAAAUUAAACAGACAAAUGUUCGGACAUUCAUAUGAACAGAAAAUCAUAACUCUUCAAUUGGAGACGUUUGGUAAUGAAACAGAUAUGGAGAUACAUCGAAACAAAUAAGUUGUUUUGAAUCGUGGAUCAUAUAGAUAUACUUACUCUGAACUUAUGGAUGGAAAUCAUUACCAGAAGAGAUCAGUGGGUUGGGGAGACAGAAACAAGUGGCAGUUAUCAGAAAAAAAAAAAGAGGAUAAGAAAAAAAUCGAGAGCAGUAAAAAGUUCAGAUAGAGAUCAACAGCAGAGGAACAAAAACUCAGUUCAAAAAAUGGGAGAUUUGAAGUUCUCAGGAACUUUAACAAUGUGGUUUGCCACAAGAUAAGAGAUUUGGUUUAAAAUUAAGUUUUAGCUUUUUCAAAAAACAGUUUACACUUGUUGUACAAAAGUACUUUUCUUUUGAAUAAAUUUAACAUAUAUUCAAAAAAAAAAAAAAAAAAAAAAAAAACUCAGUUCGGUUUAUUGGUGGUUGAAUUGGAUAAGGGAAUUCCAUUAUACAAAAACCUACAUAGCGACUGAGAAAAUUUGAAGAAAGGAAGAUGAAACAGAAAAAAAAAUAAGUACAAUGAUGAUGAAGAAACGAUAUCUAAAUUUGUUUAAGGAUUUUAUUCUGAAAAGUUACGUUUUUUGAGAAGUGACGAUUCAGAAAAAAGGAAACGAAAGAGAUACUGUUUGCAUUAGUAUUGAUAACAGCAGCAAUCUCCACCGUACGAUCUUGUUUUUAUUUUCCUAUAAAAAAUUGCUAACAUCAAUGCGGGUUUACUAAAAAUAUAGUGGAAAAAAAAAGUUUGAUCUAACGUUUGAGUUUAUCCUUACUUUUAAUCUAACGGACAUGAUUUAUUUUAAUCACAAAAUCUUACGUCAUCUAAUUGUUUCAACAGAUCGACGCACCUCUUCUCUGAUCGACGCCCCUUUUUACAGUGACCUCUUUUGAUAAUGAAACGACACACCUUUUAAACUGAUUAAUAGAUUGAAGAACUGGUUUGAGCCGUUGUUUUUUUCUGAGAACGCUUCUCAAUCCAAGUCCCAAAGGAAAAGUUUUGGUUCAACGGCUACAAUUGAUUUCUAAUAGAUCUCGCCGCGAAUCUAAACUACCGCCGCCGUCUCCGUUGAUGACGAGAAACCGACGUUAUAAAGUUGAUCAGAGGGAAGAGUAAGAAGUAAGAAGAAAGUUGUGGCGGUGACAACUCUGCCAUGGACGGAAUUGAAAAGCUAAAAGUUCAGAAAAUAAGAUAGGAAGUUUGUCUGUUAAAGCUUCGCUGUUUCUUGGGUCGUAAGCUACCGGAGCAGACGUCAGUGUAUGUCUUUCUCUAAUCAUAUUCCUCUCUCGCCGUUGAAAAUCUGUUUGCUUUAACAAAAAGUUUGAUUUAACAAAGUUUCCGAACGUAGAGAUGUGAUGUUUUUAGAUGUCAGUGAAUAGAUUGCAUAGAUGGUAGAUGUAUGCACAGGAUAAGACUGUUAACUGGUUCAAACUAAUUAUUUUUUUUGUAACAUAAAAGGGUUAAACCCGGGUCUAUUAAAGACACAGACCUAACCCCCGGAUGGAGGUACAGCCCACGGAUAGACCCUCUCCUGGGCUUUCAAAUGAGCCGAAAACAAUAGCCCAUAUCCGUGUGGCCAGCGGGGUUUGAACCGGUUCAAACUAAUUAUCCAUUCCUUAUUUCACAUAUAUGUUCUUUUUCAUCUCUUGCAUGUUCUCAACUUACGGUUACAUGUUAUUUGUCUGAUUAGGCUGGUUCCAUAUGGCAAAAGAAUCUAGAUAUCUAUUGAAUAUUUAUAGCUGUAGUCCGAGUAGGCUUUUUCUUGUGAAUGUGAUUGUAUUACAGAUCCAGCAUCACCCCUGGGACAGUACCGAUCAUCCUUUUUUUUUAACCAACUACCCUCUGUUUUUCUUUUUUGUGACCGAUCAAUGAUUGCCAGAAACUGAAAGUCUCUGAUGUUAGCCUCGAUAAAUUUGAUGAUCAGUAUUUUGGAAAGGUAGCCGAGAAGAAGACCAGUAAGGGAAAAGGAGAGUCCGAUGGAGCCGUGGAUGUAUAUCUCUGAAUUAUACUUUCCUUUUAUUAUUCUCAAAUUGUAAACAGUACAAACCUGAGCACAAAUCCUAUGCACGGGAGCUCAUCUUAAACGUUAUCUUGUUUUUAUUUUCCUAUAAAAAAUUGCUAACAUCAAUGCGGGUUUACUA